GUCCACGCCGUAACGAUGAGAACUAGGUGUUGCGGGUAUUGACCCCUGCAGUGCCGUAGCUAACGCAUUAAGUUCUCCGCCUGGGAAGUACGGUCGCAAGACUAAACUCAAAGGAAUUGACGGGCCCGGCACAAGCGGUGGAGCAUGUGGUUUAAUUCGACGCAACGCGCAGAACCUUACCUGGGCUUGACAUCUACGGAACCUUCGUGAAAGCGAGGGGUGCCUUUCGGGGAGCCGUAAGACAGGUGCUGCAUGGCUGUCGU
rnacentral:rRNA from 1 species